AUGAACAAUGCUCUCUCGGCCCCUUACACUACUGAAGAUGUUCGUAAGGCAUUAUUCGUUAUCGAAGACUUAAAGGCUCCGGGACCAUAUGGACUCCAUGCUAUUUUCUACAAGAGGUUUUGGCCCAUGUUAGGGGAUGAUCUAAUUGAGGAAGUUUUGGAGGCAAUCUACACAUGUACUAUCCCUGCGGGUUGGAACGAGACUGUAAUAGUGAUGAUCCCAAAGGUGAACACACCCGAAAAGGUAACCCAAUUUAGGCCGAUCAGUUUAUGCAAUGUGGUGUAUAAAAUAAUUGCAAAUAUGGUGGCUUCUUGUUUGAAGGUGUUUCUACCAGAUAUCAUUAGUCAAACACAGAGUGCUUUUGUGCCUGGUAGAUUGAUUACAAAUAAUAUUUUAGUGGUGUAUGAGUGCUUUCACACAAUCAAUAAUAGAAGAUAAGGUAGAGAGGGAUUAUGUGCUAUAAAACUAGAUAUGCACAAAGCCUACGACAGGGUUGAGUGGCUGUACUUGAAGGAGAUUAUGUUAAGAUUGGGCUUCCGCCAAGAGUGGGUGAACUUUAUCAUGCAAUGCAUCUCAACUGUUGAAUAUAGAGUUAGGAUUAAUACGGAGGAAAGUGAGAGUUUUAAGCCUACAAGGGGCUUGAGACAGGGUGAUGCAUUGUCACCUUACCUAUUCUUGUUGUGCAUAGAGGAGUUGAAUGCUUUACUUACACACACAGAGGAAAAUGGAAAGAUUUCAGGAGUAAAAGUAUGUAGUGAUGCCCCGGCCAUCACAAAUCUUCUCUUUGCGGAUGACUCUUUAAUUCUCAUGAAAGCCAACCAACAGAGUGUAGAAGCUCUGAAAUUAGCGCUAGAUUUAUAUUGUGCGGCAUCAAGACAAUUGGUAAGUGUUGAAAAGUCUAGCAUUUUCUUUAGCCCCAACACGAGGGUGGAGAUUAGAGAACAAAUGUGUACAACACUGGAUAUUAUGACAGAGGCUCUCAAUGAUAAAUAUCUUGGUUUGCCAGGAAAUAUGGGGUUAGAUAAAACAGAUUGCUUCCAAUUUCUAAUUGAACAAAUUAUUAAGAAAAUUAGUGGUUGGAAGUAAAAAUUAUUGUUAGCGGGAGGGAAAGAGAUCCUACUCAAGGUUGUUGUCCAAGCCAUUCCCACCUAUGCAAUGUCAGUCUUUAAAAUUCCUAAAAAGAUUGUAAAGGAAAUUGAUGCGAUAGCACAUUUUUGGUGGGGUGACGAGGAGAACCAGAGGAGGAUGCAUUGGAUGGCCUAG
rnacentral:rRNA from 1 species